CACUGGCUGGAUCUGAGUCUGGAGGAAGAAACUGUCCUUUCAUCCCGGGACAAACGGCACCACAGAAAAGGCGCUGGGAGCCUUACAACAGUCACCAAAACCCUGAAGGCGUGUUGCCCUCCACCCCGUACUUCUCCAGUGCUCUGGCAAAGCAAUUCAGGAGGGCAUCUCGGAGGAGGGGCGGGGCCAUCCGUGACUUGCUGCUGCCCCUGCAGUGCGUGCAGUGUGUGCUUGCUGACAGGCUCGAAGCCCUGGCACUCGCACCGUGCCACAUCACGCUCGGCUUCACGGCCCGCAAGCCAGACUGUUACCCUAGCCGCGAAACCUGGCACUGGCCUGGCCUCCUCAUGGACGAAGUCCUUGCGGGCAUCCGUUUCCAGGACAGGGAGGCAUCCUCCACAGUGAGGAUCAGCUCCGGCAAGGAAGGCCCCUCCGCAGUCAGCCGAUUCCAUUCCCAACAGCUCUUUCUUCGGCUGCCGUCGCAUCAGCACGUGCGGAUCCACCGCUCACCUUCACGAUGCGUGAUGAAUGAGGCCUCUCGGGUGUUCACAUCACCCACAGCUGGCAGUGAGCUCAACAUCGAAGCUGAGCCUGGCCUCUUUCAACCUUGCAAACUUCCGUUCUGAUCAGAGCUUUGGCUAUGAUCACCAUGGUGCCAAGAGGGAUGAGCCUGUCACCAACCCAGGUCAGCACAAGUUUCUCCACGCUUGGUGUGGGCCCCUCUGGCCGUCUCACUGGUCCUGCUGCCUUCAGUAAAGCAGCUCCUCCAACAGCUUCCUUUCCUCUACGUCUGCCCAUCAAGACAGGAGCUACCUCGCCAUGGGACAGGCCUGACUGCUGAGCGACACCGUCAUCCAUUUUCUCUCUCUCUCUUUUUUUUUUUUUAGAUUAAUUUAUUUGAAAGGCAGCGUCACAGAGAGCGAGAGGGAGAGACAAAGAGAUCUUCCAGCCUCUGGUUCACUUCCCGAGAUGGCCGCAACAGCUGGGGCUGGGCUAGGUAGAAGCCAGGAGCCAGGAGCUUUAUCUGGGUCUCCCACGUGGGUGGCAGGAGCCUAAGCACUUGGGCCAGCUUCCCCUGCUUUCCCAGGCCCAUUAGCAGGGAGCUGGAUAGGAAGUGGAGCAGCCAGGACUCGAACUGAUGCUCAUAUGGGAUGCUGGUAACACAUGUGGCGGCUUUACCAGCUACACCACAGAGCCAGCCCCCGUCACUGAUUUUCAACUUUCGUUAAUCACCUUAUAUUUUGUUUCUGGGUCAAUCAGUGUGGCUUCUUACUGGGCAGUGUCAGCGAGGGGUUUUCUACAUUUAGGGACCUCAGCGAACCAAAGAAAUCAGAUUAAAUCAAGCACACUCUAGAAGGGCGCAAUCAGUAGACAUGAGAGAGAGGGCUGCUGCCAAUGAAGCGUGGCACACUUCUGAAACUCUCCUGUUCAUCGGUAGGGUUGGCAGGAGCCGGUCAAAAGUUACCAAUGUGGUGUGGUAUAAUAGACAUAAGCCAGUGAGAUGCUUUUGAUUACAAUCAAGCGUUAUGCAGUGUGCAUAACUGUACAUGCUGUGCUCGCCCGUGACUGGCAACGCUAGGUCUGCUUAUCCCCACACCCACGCACGCACAGGAAGGCAGUGUGCUGACGUGACCCAACUGUGAUGUCACUGGGCUACAGCAAGUCAUCCUCUUGUGAGCCCUCAGCACGGGGAUGGUCUACGCCGUGUGGCGUGUGACUGCGUCUCCAGGAACCGUCUCUCCAUCCAGCUGCCUGCAGCUGCUCUUCCAGACAGUACCGCGAGCCCACAGACGGAUGCAGGCUCUACUGAGGCCAGGGCUCUCAUCCACACUCCCAGACCUAACUAUAACAGGCAUGGGUCACUCUGAAUUUUCCAGAGAAAUGUAUUCUGCCUCCUGGAUAACAUAUUAGACUUUUAAAUAUUUUGAAUGUACAAGUAAAAUAAUGGUAACUUUUUUUCAUGUAACAUACCUGAUUGUCUCCUGAUAAGAAAGGGAAGAAAUCUAAUCCUAUGGGAGAGAAAAAUUAUUUUAGUUUUGGAAAAAACAAGAACAAAAAAACAUAGUAAAACCCCUUUCCAAAUGCCCAGUACUUGGAAAACAAACAUAAAUCCUAACUCCUCUGCCUUUUGGAAUCUGACUUCAAGCUGAGUGUCCUGCGCCUCUCCCUCCUCUGGAUGCUGAGGGCGCAGCGCAAGCAGAGACGCCGCCUCCCCGCACCUCUGUCUGAGCAGCUGGGGGACCGGCUGCCGGCCGCGCACCGGCCAGCUCUCCUCCACUCCUCUCAUUCCCCCUCACAGGCACCUCGUGAGGCAUCUGAUCAUUUCUGGCCUCAUUUUACAGAGGAGAAAGUUUGAAGUUCCAAGAGUAAUAAGCAAGCCACAGCCCAAAUUUUCCUUUUCUUCCUCAGAGUUGCUCACUGCCACCAUCUGUACCAGACUGUAACUUGGAAUCUCUGCAGCGGCCAGAGCCCGGGGUGGGGGGUGGGCCUCCCUGCACCCAUUCUCGACUGUGAUGUGGUCAGGAGCAAAGUAAACAAGGCGACCGAGAUGCCUCGGGAGGACAGCUAAACCCAGGGCAAAGCGUACCACCAGCACAUGGAGACCACGGGGCCCACAUGCUGCCUGCUCCUCAUUACAGCUCAAGCGCUGACUUAGCACCGCGAUCCUUAGGAGCGACAGUAUGCUUCAAACAUUAAGACAAAAGCUACGGAAAGGCAUCUAACCAACAGUUAAGGGCAAAUGGAACUUCUGGACUGUGGACUUGGGAGAAUGGUAGAGGAAAAUUUUCACUGUUUUGUAUGGAAUUCACUAUAGUGAGCAUAUAUAGCUUUUAAAAACGGAUCCAUAAAAAUUGAACAUAUUCAUGGGGUAUAAUAUGGGCUUUCUGUAAUAACAAAGAAAAAUAUUCCUGCAUGACUUGAUUAAUUUACAAAUUACUAAACCACAAAGAUAUGAAAACUAACAAUACUUUCCAAUAAUGCAAAUGAUUAUUACGAACUCCAAAUACAUUAUACAAAUGAGUGACAGUUCUCACUGCUUUUAAUUCACUAGAGCAAAAGAGAAAACUUGCAAGUCUCUCAAUUCAGCAUUACCUAAAAGAUAAUACAGCAGUUACCCACAAUGACUGGGACAGAUUCGUGACCAUGUUCUAUUAUUUCUCUCAAUCCCUUGGGGCCUGCUCUCCCAAUCUUCCAGUUCUUGCUCAGGCGCACCCACAGAGGACCACACGGAUCGGAGGAAUGCUUGAUGCUGUGUGACAACUCGGAAGCCACGGCGACUCACCUUGCAGGUCGUAAGGCAUGGGCGUCAUGUGGAAAGGAUGCCUGUAGUCUUGGAUGAGGGACGUGUUGAUGUAGCUUGUGUCCACAGCAGGAAGGCUGGGGGUGCGAGAUACUGGAGAUGCUUGAUGUGGAAGACUUAAAAUGCUGUAAGAAGGAAAUGUUCGCAUAAUUUCCAUGAGUUAGUUGAAACAGGUUGCAUUUUACUACGAGCCCUAGCUUUUGUGCUGGAUACCAAAGCAAAAAACGGGCAAAGUGAUAUACAAUUUACACAAUCCACAAUGAUGAGGAAAUAAUCUGCACAAUUAAUAUAGCAUUUUGUGGAGGCUACAGAGAGAAACGGAUGCAUGCAAUGGUAUCCAGCAUCCAUACGCACAGAUUACACACAGUCUUUGAGACACCAUCAUCUACACUUUGAGAAUGUAGGGAAAGGCAUGUCUAAGCCACUUCAGCAGGAUACAUGUGAAAAGCACCUACGUGAGUUUCAUGAGGACCAAAACUGGCUGGUAUCUGUCUCGGUACACCCGAUGCCCAGCACCUCUGUCAGCACACUGUUGGCAUAAAAGCCUUGUAGAACUGAAACAAGAGGUGCUCCCAGUGGAAAGGUGGAGAGUUUUUGUUUGUUUGUUUUUUAAAGAUCUAUUUUAUUUAUUUGAAACACAGAGUUACAGAGAGAGAGGUCUUCCAUCCAAUGGUUCACUCUCCAGAUGGCUACAACGGCUGGAGCUGUGCCAAUCCGAAGCCAGGAGCCAGGAGCUUCCUCCGGGUCUCCCACACGGGUGCAGGGGCCCAAGGACUUGGGCCAUCGUCCACUGCUUUCCCAGACCAUAGCAGAGAGCUGGAUUGGAAGUGGAGCAGCCGGGACUAGAAUCGGUGCCCAUAUGGGAUGCCGGCGCUUCGGGCGAGGGCUUUAACCCGUUGCGCCACAGCGCCGGCCCCAAGUGGAGAGUUUUUAAAGGAGCAAGAGCAUAAUCAGAACAUGAAAAAAAGGAAAAGAGUGAAAUGUCUAUAUUAGCUGAGUACUCAGAUCUUGUUUCUCUUUAGCAAAACAUAAGGAAAAGGGAAAAAGGAAGGAAGGAAGCAAGGAAAGGGAAAAGAAUGAAUGUGACUAAUUUGGAGAAGAAAAUGAAAGAAAUGUAACCAUCCUGGGCAGAAACAGGGUUGUAGGUUAUCCCAGUCACACAAGAAGCUCACAGGCAUUACAUUAUAGAAAACCAAGAAGCAGCAAGGGUUAAAGAGGCUAUCUUUGGUUUUGAAUGCUUCAUAUGAAGUUUUUUGGGUGUGGUGAGGCAAUUUCAAAGGCACAGAAUAUUUCAAAAGAUGCCCAGGUUGGGUUUCUGGGAACAGAGUUCUAGUUAUGACCAUCUACCUACCACGUUUUCAUCAAUGGGGUAUGAAAUAUACAACACACUCUCGUCUUCCUUGUGAAAGUGUCUCAUCUAAUGGAAAAUUAAUUAAAUCUCUUACAUCUACAAAAACUACCACGUUCCACUAGCCAUGUCCUCUGACAGUGCCAGGGGACUGCAGGAGAGAAGAAAGCAUUCGAGAGGCUCAUCUCGGGGAACAUCUCAGUACACUGAACGGUACAGUACACUUCUGGACAAAUGGACACUCAGUGGAACUCUGGCCAAGUGGUUUUACAGUUAGUGACAUCUGCCUCUUCCUGGCCCCUGGCUGGCUGCUGUACUUGCAAUUUUGUGAUAAUGCUUUGAGAUGCUUUUCCACCUUUAUUCUGCACAAUAACUAACACACACACCACGCUGGGCUUAGUUCUCUAGCUACUGGCGAAUCAUGCUGUAAAAUGGCUACUACUGUGGUGUAUUCUCCUUCUAAAGAUCUUGUAAAUUGUCAGGUUUCUUGUUUUACCUGAAAAUAGAAAAAGGACUGGCAUCUGCAAAUACUGUAUCUGGGUUCAAUUAGUCACUGGGAAACUCAGGAAGUAGUUAAUACAUCUAAUGUAAUUUUUUCAAACAUUAACACACAGAGCUAUUUUUAUAGACAUAGCAAAGUAAAUAUCUAAAAAGUUUCCUUGAAGGAAAAAAAACAUCUAGCCACAUGGGAAAACUACAGCAUAGUUUAUGUGUAUUAUAUGUAUGUACACACACACACACACACACACAGGACUGUUAUCACUAUUCUAAAGAACCAACAUACAUAAUGAUGCAUAUUAACUCAAAAGUAUUCACAUACCUAGAAGUUUAAGAAAUAUCUUUUAAUGUUGCCAAUUAUGGUCUUAAAAACUCACAACACAGUUGUCCCUCAGUAUCUAUAUCAAAAUCUGUAGAUGUUCACAAUAGCCCAGUAUUUGCAUAACCCACACGGUCCUUCUGGGUACUGUGAGGCAGCCCUGGAUGACUUACAA